CAAAAAGUCUCAUGGCUCAGUGUGUUUGUCUGACACGGAUAGUCACUGAUUAGUCAGCCCACCUACGAGGCUCACCUGUCAAACACCAACGCAGCGUCACUGAUUGCCGAAUAGUUUUUUUUUUUAGAUUACCGAGAGUUUACAAUCUACAGUUACAUCUCUCAUGUGCGACGGGUUUUGACGUCAUUUUUGGGCCUACAUCCGUGCAGGCUUUGGUCGGCUUCACUGUCCGAUCUCUGGCUUACCCCCUUGGUAAUAUACUGUCAAUGAGUGUACCUCAGUAGGCCUCCAGAGGUACACUACUCAUUGGGUCUUCACAUCCUACAGAGGUGAACAUCAUGUCGAGCCAAAUCAUCAGCAAACCACUAUCAAACAGGGAGACAUCCAGGGUCUCCAUAUGGAGCUGACCGCACUGCAACCCCUAGCUGCUUAAGAUUCAGAUGAAUAAAGUCUCAUCAGGUCCUUUAAUGCACUAGCUUCUUCCGGAUUGAACUGUCCUGACCUGUCGCUAACACUGUGCGGCAGCCCCCACCCCCCAUUUUCCACGGAGAGAGGAGUGAAAGGUAAAUGCUGGGUUUAUCCUUGGUCUGGAGCCUGACUGCGCAAGGGAGCAUCCAGUUCAUCGCUUGGCCUUUUACAGCUUCAUUGCCUACUUUACAGUAAAGCCAGGUGCGGUGAACCUUUCAUCGGGCUGACAUAUUACCUGAUUUAAAGAUUCCCUGGGUGGCAGGCCACAGUAAAACUUGGAUCAAUCUAAGGGUUCCUUCAAAGUGAAACUAAGUAAUAAAACAGUAAAGAAGCCACACUC